GAUGAACGCUGGCGGCGUGCUUAACACAUGCAAGUCGAACGGAAAGGCCCAAGCUUGCUUGGGUACUCGAGUGGCGAACGGGUGAGUAACACGUGGGUGAUCUGCCCUGCACUUCGGGAUAAGCCUGGGGAACUGGGUCUAAUACCGGAUAGGACGAUGGUUUGGAUGCCAUUGUGGAAAGUUUUUUCGGUGUGGGAUGAGCUCGCGGCCUAUCAGCUUGUUGGUGGGGUAAUGGCCUACCAAGGCGUCGACGGGUAGCCGGCCUGAGAGGGUGUACGGCCACAUUGGGACUGAGAUACGGCCCAGACUCCUACGGGAGGCAGCAGUGGGGAAUAUUGCACAAUGGGCGCAAGCCUGAUGCAGCGACGCCGCGUGGGGGAUGACGGCCUUCGGGUUGUAAACUCCUUUCGCUAGGGACGAAGCGUUUUUGUGACGGUACCUGGAGAAGAAGCACCGGCUAACUACGUG
rnacentral:rRNA from 1 species